AAUAUCUUCUCUCAAAUUGAAAUUUUGAAAACGCAACCAACUACCCGCCGGAGACAUAUAUGAAGGGUACAGCCCGCCGCCGUCCAAAGGCGUCUUUCAAUCCUCCGCCACUUCUCCGCGAUUCCGAUGUCUGCUUUGCCAGUAGCCGCCCUUCUUCCAUCGGAAUGUGGAAAGGAUGAGAAGAGAAUUGCAGGCUGUGGAGAGGGACAUCGGUGAUGCCGAAGUCUCGAGGAACUUGUGGGAGGAGAAGUCACGGGAUCUUGAUGCAACUCUAGGAAAUACAUUUAAGGGGCUUGAGGCCAUUGCAAUGGAAUGUAACCAGGCGAUGAGAAGAUUAAAGCUCGAUAGUUGUCAUCAGUAUGUUCUGAAUGCAAAGGGGUCGACACCAGCUGAUAUGAUGGGGAUUGACUAUAAGACAACCAUUAAGCCUGCACUUGAUUCCUUUGCAGAGGACAUAAGGAGAAGUUCCAUGAUGAAGUUGGAAGAGUUGAUUUCUCUCCGGCAGCAAUCAAAUGAAAAUACUGCUAAAAUUGAGUCUAAACGCAGUCACAUGGCUUCUCUUCAACCCCAUAUCAAUGAACAUGAAACACAACUAAUCUCCUUAAAAGAUGAAAUGCGAGAUUAUAUUUUAAGAUGCUCCACGGAAUCCAAGAAAAUGGUGGAGGAUGUUCAACAAGAAGCUCAUAACUUAGAUCUCGUGGAAGGAGAAGCAGAGGAGAGUUUGAAGAAUGCCAAAUUGGCGCAUCAGGAAGCAAUAAAGCAAGAAGAAGAAGAAAUUCAUAUGUGUGCUCGUGAACUACUUUCAUGUCUUGACUCUCUCUCACAAUAUAAAGCAGUUGUUAGCUGCAAAAUUUCAGAUAUGGAAAGCUGCCUCUCGAAGGCUGCUGCCGGUAUCUCUGAGGCUUUCAAGAUUUCUAUGCCUGCAGUAUAAGAUGGAUGUGGAGGAAGUUGGACAUAGAGCAGAACAAAAAGAUGUAUGUAUGUGCAGUGAACUGAAAUUGAGGUGUGAAAAAGCUGAAAAUAAGUGUGAAGAGUUAGAGUUGAAGAUUCAAAUAAAAAAGAUUAGUAUGAAUUACUUCAGGGCCAAAUGAAGAAGUUGGAGUCAGAAAAGUCAGUCAUUGAAACGGAGAUAAAAGUUUGGAUGGAGAAGAGUCAUGAAUGUGGAUAGCAGGUUAGUUGUGCUAAAGAUGGAAGAAAUCUUUGUUUUAAGGAUGGAAAGAUGGAAGUUGUGAAUUUAGUUGAAAAUAAUGAAAUGAAAGAGGAGAUUGUUCAGCUUCUGAUUGAGAAUAAUGUUCUGGCUGUUGAGAAGAAGGCUGAAAGUGAAGCUGAGCUGUGGAAAGGUAAGUUCAAACAAUUGGAGAUUCAGAUUUCAAAAAUGGAUGAAAGGUAAGGUGAUGGGAAGCCAGUGCUUUGUGGGAAGUUUGAAGGGGUAAUUGGAUUAUCAAUGAGUCCUGAAACUCGUGGUUUGGAUGGUGUGGCCACUGAUAAAAGAAAUUAGAAACUUUGAAGCAGGUAUUCUUUUUCUUUAAUAUUGUUUUUGUUUUCUCUUAAUUGCAUAAAGGUUAUUUGGAAUAACUUUUCUAAGUCUUUAGUUCGGACAACCACUUAAAAUAGUUUGUUAUAAAUAGUCUCUUAUUUUUUAAAAAUCCAAAUAGUUUGGAUAAAAAUAAUUUUUUUGAAAAACAAUUUGUUGGAAUUCCUUGAAUCUGUGAUCUAGAGUUUUGAAAUAACCAAGUAUUAGGUUUCCCUCUACCCUUUGACAUAGUUAACGCACAUUAAUGAACCCCGUGUGUCUUUGCGUUGAUUUUCUAUUGCUUUACGUUUUUCUAGUUUCUUUAUUUAUCAACUCCAUAACACACUUAUCCGACUCUAAGACAACCGCUCAAAAAAACAGUGAUAUGAAGGAUUUGAUUGUAAAAUAUUGAAUAUCUUUGAUUUGUAUUCAUGAAGGUUUUAACCUGCGCAUGUGUUAAGUGAAUUUCUUGUUGCUUUUAACCUGAUUUUUCCUGGAUGACUGAAGUCUACAUAACUUUUUUCCUUGUGUUUGGUGGAUAUACUCUAAUGAUAGGAACAUCUCCGAAUGGCUCAUCACCCAAUCCUACUGUUUCUUUUGGGCAAGGGAAAAACGUGAGAAGUGAGAUUACACCAAAGGUACUUGUUGAUGAAUUUUGUCGACUCCCUGUAAUUUCUCUAAUAGGAGCACCUGGCUGAGUUUCUCAGCAAUGGUGAUCUACAAGGUAAUCUCAACAAAUCUGUUAAAGAGUUGGAGGAGUAUGACCCAAAGACCAUUGAGCUGUGCAGAAAUUUAGCCACACAUUACUCCAAGCAGUUGUUCGAGAUCUAUGGAAAUGAAGAAGAUCCUUUCCUUUUACCUGCAUGACAUCAUGUCAUUGAUUCCACUGCCAAACAAUUUCAUACUCAAAUGUAAGAGUCAAUGUCAUCCGCUUGAAGAAACUCCCAAAAAGGGUCUUUUGUGGGAAAAUAGCAUAAAGCAUAAAACUUAGUUAUGUUGGACCUUUAUUAGGAGGAAAGCUAUAUUGAUAGACCAUAGUUGGUUGACAUGACAUGUAACCUGUGGAUCUGAUUGUAAAUUUUGUGCAUUUAGGGUAAUUAUUUAUUCCUGUUGUCUAUCUUAGUCUAUGUUACAUGUUUGGUACCCUUGUUGGUAGUUUGAUUGAGGCAAAUGAGGCCUGUAAAAGAAUUUAUAACUGAGGUUCAAUAGCCAUAAAAGAAUUUAUUUGCUAAAACCAUAGUUUAUGGUA